rnacentral:lncRNA from 1 species
GAAUUUUCUUUAAUGGCAUUGCCCUUUGUUUAAGGAACUUGGAAACAAAUGCAAAACAAACAAACAAAUUGCUAUUUGUGGAAACCAAAACUGGCUGAGCCCAUAGCUCCAUGAAGUGCAGGGCAUGGCAAUUCCAGACAGAGCUCAGCAGGCUGCACCCUCCUGAGGCCUGCACCUUCUGGAAACCAGCUACUGCUGUGCAGGGAGAAUUGCAGUCUAUGUGUCAGGAUGGGUGUCAUUCAGUCUUUAUAGUUCACGAGAAACAACCAGGGGGAUUCUGAUGGCCUCAUAUUGUCUUAAGCACAACUCUGCCUCAAAUUGCCCUACUCCCAUACACUCCCCUUCUAAGGGGGAUCUGCUGUCUCCUAUCUACCAUGUCCCAAUCUCUAAUAGAUACAACCCCACUUUCUGGAGAGAUCUUCUAUAAAAUGACCACAGUUACUUUUUGUCUAAUAACAAACCUAAGUCAAAAAGCCUAGAUAAGUACAGUGGUGAGUGGUAGAUAAGUGAUCCAAUUGUGUUGUCAUUGUACAAAGCAGAGAUGUUGUGGGGGCAGGACUCAACCACCUCAGUAGUCCUGGGCAGCUGAGACAGCAUUUGGCCACCUCAGACUUCGCUGCUGGAAGAUCCCCAUUGCUUUAUUUCCAUCAAAAGGACUCUCCAGUUUUGUCUUUGGAUAAGCCUGUCUAUUUUCUCCAGAAGUUCUCAAAAUAAGUUUUUUCCAUUGUUCCUACCCCAGUUUCAAUUUUCCAGCAAAAGUUUGCAGUCUAAACACCUGAGAACCUGUCCCUGUCCUCUAUGCUAUCAAAUGUGAGGAUGCUUUGCUGAGCCACAGCUUCUAGAACAUUCCUUUCCUCAUUUUUCAUGAGCAGUUAGCACAUGAAGUUAGAUCCUGGUUGAGAAAGGAGGGCCAGGAAGGCUCAUAAAAUUGCUGCUGGGUAUGGCCAGACUCUGCUGUCAGUCAAAUCGGUAAGGUUUGCUAAAUUAUGCCUUUCUAUUAGAUUUAGUGCUCAUGUGAAACCAGACUAACAGAACAGAAAUGAUCUGGCUACUGCUUGGGCCAUCACUGCUUCCUGUUCUUCAAGUCUCACCCUGAAAUCUACUUAGCCUGAACUAUAGGAGAAACCUCACCUGACUGACACAAAACCCUUUUCUUGUCUCUAAGAACAGUUGCUGUUUGUAUAGCACUGGGGUCCUGCUAAAGCUAGGCUGGGCUGCAAGGUUGUUCUUCCUAACUGUAUUGACCUAUUGACAGAUUGUUUACUCAGUUCUGGAAAAUACUUCUUGGAACUUCCUCUCCUAAGAGUAUGAACCUAGGACUCUGCUACUGAAAACCCUCCAGCACUCUGUCUGGUAUGUGUAUACAUUUUUCAGGCUAAGAUGCUACUGAAAUAGCC